GAAGUACUGCUGGCCCAGCACCGGCAGUUGAAGUUGUUGCGCGAGUCCUGGAGAGCAAUUAACUGAGAAGGCUUGAAAGAGAAGCGUUGACUGUUGGGUCUGUGGGCAAGAUGGACUCUCCACAGAAGGUCGUAGACCAUCAGCCCUUCUGCCUCAGUCUGAAAUGCUUUGUGAAGACGCUGCGGUUGGAUGUUAUCAACUCGGUGGUAACAACACUAUUCAUGCUUAUUGUGUCUGUGUCGGCUCUAAUACCAGAAACCUCAACAAUGAUAAUGGUUGGAGGGGUGUUUGGUUUCCUGACAGUAAUAUGUACUGUUGCUGAUUGUGCCCUUAUGUGCCAGAAACUCCGGUUUCGUCCACAUGGACCUUAUCAGAACAGGUCUGCUACUGAUGUAGAUGACAGUUAAUUUUAUACUCAUUUUUACUAGUUAUUAAAUUCUUUAUACUUCCAU
rnacentral:lncRNA from 1 species